AGCGAACGCUGGCGGCAGGCCUAACACAUGCAAGUCGAGCGCCCCGCAAGGGGAGCGGCAGACGGGAGAGUAACACGUGGGAACGUACCCUUCAGUACGGAACAACCAAGGGAAACUUUGGCUAAUACCGUAUACGUCCGUAAGGAGAAAGAUUUAUCGCUGAAGGAUCGGCCCGCGUCUGAUUAGCUAGUUGGUGAGGUAACGGCUCACCAAGGCGACGAUCAGUAGCUGGUCUGAGAGGAUGAUCAGCCUCACUGGGACUGAGACACGGCCCAGACUCCUACGGGAGGCUGCCUGAGACGCCAAGGCACACAGGGGAUAGG
rnacentral:rRNA from 1 species